UACGAAGGGGGCUAGCGUUGUUCGGAAUUACUGGGCUUAAAGGGUGCGUAGGCGGCCUGAUAAGUAGGGGGUGAAAUCCUGCGGCUUAACCGCAGGGCUGCCUUCUAAACUGUCAGGCUCGAGCACAGUAGAGGCAGGUGGAAUUCCCGGUGUAGCGGUGGAAUGCGUAGAGAUCGGGAAGAACAUCAGUGGCGAAGGCGGCCUGCUGGGCUGUUGCUGACGCUGAGGCGCGACAGCGUGGGGAGCAAACAGG
rnacentral:rRNA from 1 species